rnacentral:rRNA from 1 species
CCUACGGGUGGCAGCUGUGGGGAAUAUUGGACAAUGGGGGCAACCCUGAUCCAGCCAUGCCGCGUGUGUGAAGAAGGCCCUCGGGUUGUAAAGCACUUUCAGUGAGGAAGAACGCCUGGUGGUUAAUACCCAUCAGGAAAGACAUCACUCACAGAAGAAGCACCGGCUAACUCCGUGCCAGCAGCCGCGGUAAUACGGAGGGUGCGAGCGUUAAUCGGAAUUACUGGGCGUAAAGCGCGCGUAGGUGGCUUGAUAAGCCGGUUGUGAAAGCCCCGGGCUCAACCUGGGAACGGCAUCCGGAACUGUCAAGCUAGAGUGCAGGAGAGGAAGGUAGAAUUCCCGGUGUAGCGGUGAAAUGCGUAGAGAUCGGGAGGAAUACCAGUGGCGAAGGCGGCCUUCUGGACUGACACUGACACUGAGGUGCGAAAGCGUGGGUAGCAAACAGGAUUAGAUACCCCAGUAGUC